GACGAACGCUGGCGGCGUGCUUAACACAUGCAAGUCGAACGAUGAAGCCGGAGCUUGCUCCGGUGGAUUAGUGGCGAACGGGUGAGUAACACGUGAGCAAUCUGCCCUUGACUCUGGGAUAACUGCGGGAAACUGUAGCUAAUACCGGAUACGACACCUUGGGGCAUCCCAGGGUGUGGAAAGAAUUUCGGUCAAGGAUGAGCUCGCGGCCUAUCAGCUAGUUGGUGAGGUAAUGGCUCACCAAGGCGACGACGGGUAGCCGGCCUGAGAGGGUGACCGGCCAACCUGGAACUGAGACACGGUCCAGACUCCUACGGGAGGCAGCAGUGGGGAAUAUUGCACAAUGGGCGAAAGCCUGAUGCAGCAACGCCGCGUGAGGGAUGAAGGCCUUCGGGUUGUAAACCUCUUUUAGCAGGGAAGAAGCGAAAGUGACGGUACCUGCAGAAAAAGCACCGGCUAACUACGUGCCAGCAGCCGCCGUAA
rnacentral:rRNA from 1 species